rnacentral:rRNA from 1 species
GUCCAGCUUGCUGGAUGCUGACGAGCGGCGGACGGGUGAGUAAUGCAUAGGAAUCUGCCCGGUAGUGGGGGAUAACCUGGGGAAACCCAGGCUAAUACCGCAUACGCCCUACGGGGGAAAGCAGGGGCUCUUCGGACCUUGCGCUAUCGGAUGAGCCUAUGUCGGAUUAGCUAGUUGGUAGGGUAACGGCCUACCAAGGCGACGAUCCGUAGCUGGUCUGAGAGGAUGAUCAGCCACACUGGGACUGAGACACGGCCCAGACUCCUACGGGAGGCAGCAGUGGGGAAUAUUGGACAAUGGGGGCAACCCUGAUCCAGCCAUGCCGCGUGUGUGAAGAAGGCCUUCGGGUUGUAAAGCACUUUCAGUGGGGAAGAAGGCCUUGCGGUUAAUACCCGCAAGGAAGGACAUCACCCACAGAAGAAGCACCGGCUAACUCCGUGCCAGCAGCCGCGGUAAUACGGAGGGUGCGAGCGUUAAUCGGAAUUACUGGGCGUAAAGCGCGCGUAGGCGGCCAAGUAAGCCGGUUGUGAAAGCCCCGGGCUCAACCUGGGAAUGGCAUCCGGAACUGUUUGGCUAGAGUGCAGAAGAGGAAGGUAGAAUUCCCGGUGUAGCGGUGAAAUGCGUAGAGAUCGGGAGGAAUACCAGUGGCGAAGGCGGCCUUCUGGUCUGACACUGACGCUGAGGUGCGAAAGCGUGGGUAGCAAACAGGAUUAGAUACCCUGGUAGUCCACGCCGUAAACGAUGUCGACUAGCCGUUGGGAGCCUUGAGUUCUUAGUGGCGCAGUUAACGCGAUAAGUCGACCGCC